UACGGAGGAGGCAAGCGUUAUCCGGAAUUAUUGGGCGGAAAGCGUCCGCAGGUGGCUAUUCAAGUCUGCGGUCAAAGACUGGGGCUUAACCCUGGAAAGGCCGUGGAAACUGAAGAGCUAGAGUGCAGUAGGGGUAGAGGGAAUUCCCGGUGUAGCGGUGAAAUGCGUAGAGCUCGGGAAGAACAUCGGUGGCGAAAGCGCUCUGCUGGACUGCAACUGACACUCAGGGACGAAAGCUAGGGGAGCGAAUGGG
rnacentral:rRNA from 1 species